UUUUUGAAAUAAGACGAAUAAUCAAACGUUGGACAUAAACAGUGUAAAAUUGUUGUCUUUCUAGGACGGGGGUAGUAUUUAUCAAUUUUAGAUUUAACGUUUAACUAUUUAUCACUUUUAGAUU
rnacentral:pre_miRNA from 1 species